AUACAUGCAGUCGAGCGGAUCUUCAUUAGCUUGCUUUUGAAGAUCAGCGGCGGACGGGUGAGUAACACGUGGGCAACCUGCCUGUAAGACUGGGAUAACUUCGGGAAACCGGAGCUAAUACCGGAUAAUCCUUUCCCUCACAUGAGGGAAAGCUGAAAGACGGCUUCUCGCUGUCACUUACAGAUGGGCCCGCGGCGCAUUAGCUAGUUGGUGAGGUAACGGCUCACCAAGGCAACGAUGCGUAGCCGACCUGAGAGGGUGAUCGGCCACACUGGGACUGAGACACGGCCCAGACUCCUACGGGAGGCAGCAGUAGGGAAUCUUCCGCAAUGGACGAAAGUCUGACGGAGCAACGCCGCGUGAACGAUGAAGGCUUUCGGGUCGUAAAGUUCUGUUGUCAGGGAAGAACAAGUACCGGAGUAACUGCCGGUACCUUGACGGUACGUGACCAGAAAGCCACGGCUAACUACGUGCCAGCAGCCGCGGUGAUACGUAUGUGGCAAGCGUUGUCCGGAAUUAUUGGGCGUAAAGCGCGCGCAGGCGGUUCCUUAAGUCUGAUGUGAAAGCCCCCGGCUCACCGGGGAGGGUCAUUGGAAACUGGGGAACUUGAGUGCAGAAGAGGAGAGC
rnacentral:rRNA from 1 species